CUUGACCGAUCCGAGCCACAGCGGCUGCUCCCGGUCCUGACCGUAGGUGUCCAGCAGGGCCUGUGCCUC
rfam:Streptomyces autolyticus strain CGMCC0516, complete genome.